GAGGCACUCAAGAAGUGAUAGCUAAAAUGGUUGACCUGAAUGGCCAAUGAUAUUCACAAUCGUAAUAAAUCAUUGAAGUCAAUGGUGGUUAAGAGUGACAAAUGUUGGUGACACAAGUCUAGUGGAAUUUUUGGAUAUUUGAUAAGUAAAGAAAGAGGAAAGUAGCAAUGAGUUUAGGAUGGGGAGUUUUUCAAAAUAUCCCUCUUUCCAUGGUCAAAGUGAAAAAU
rnacentral:lncRNA from 1 species